rnacentral:rRNA from 1 species
CCUACGGGAGGCAGCAGUGGGGAAUCUUUGGCAAUGGGCGAAAGCCUGAUCGAGCAACGCCGCGUGCAGGAUGAAGGCUUUCGGGUUGUAAACUUCUUUUAUUGAGGACGAAUCAAAUGACGGUACUCAAUGAAUAAGCCACGGCUAACUAAGUACCAGCAGCCGUGGUAAUACGUAGGUGGAAAGUGUUAUCCGGAUUUACUGGGUGUAAAGUGCGUGUAGGCGGGACUGCAAGUCAGAUGUGAAACCUAUGGGCUCAACCCCUGGCUGGUUAUUGAACUUGUAGUGUGUGAGUGAUGGAGAGGCAGGCGGAAUUCCUAGGGUAGCAGUGAAAUGCGUAGAUAUACGGAGGAACACCAGUGGCGAAGGCGGCCUGCUGGACAGUAACUGACGCUGAGGCGCGAAAGCGUGGGGAGCAAACAGGAUUAGAUACCCCAGUAGUC